GAAAUGCGAUACGUAAUGUGAAUUGCAGAAUUCAGUGAAUCAUCGAAUCUUUGAACGCACAUUGCGCCCGCCAGUAUUCUGGCGGGCAUGCCUGUCCGAGCGUCAUUUCAACCAUCAAGCCCCCGGGCUUGUGUUGGGGACCUGCGGCUGCCCGCAGGCCCUGAAAACCAGUGGCGGGCUCGCUGUCACACCGAGCGUAGUAGCAAUCACCUCGCUCAGGGCGUGCUGCGGGUUCCGGCCGUUAAACAGCCUUACAAAACCCAAGGUUGACCUCGGAUCAGGUAGGAAGACCCGCUGAACUUAAGC
rnacentral:misc_RNA from 1 species